rnacentral:rRNA from 1 species
GCUAGCGGUGAGCAGGAAUGGCGGAUAAAGGCCAACACCAGGUUCGCCGAAGCCCCAGAUGGUCUGUUGAACCCGGUGAACCUGGAGGAACUCAUCGUAGGUCUGGAGGCUGCGGAUAGUGAAGGCGCCAGUGUCCUGCAUUUUAUCGAAUGGACGCUAUGAAUUCAUCCACCAUCGCCUGGUCCCAGGCGGUCACGUCGCCUGAAAUCAUCAAUAUGGCGGGGCCUCCUUUGCCCUCGAAAAGCCCGGUGACCUGUUGCACGUGCUCACCACGG